rnacentral:rRNA from 1 species
UACGUAGGGUGCAAGCGUUGUCCGGAAUUAUUGGGCGUAAAGAGCUCGUAGGCGGUCUGUCGCGUCUGCUGUGAAAACUCAGGGCUUAACCCUGAGCUUGCAGUGGGUACGGGCAGACUAGAGUGCGGUAGGGGAGACUGGAAUUCCUGGUGUAGCGGUGAAAUGCGCAGAUAUCAGGAGGAACACCGGUGGCGAAGGCGGGUCUCUGGGCCGUAACUGACGCUGAGGAACGAAAGCUAGGGGAGCAAACAGG